rnacentral:rRNA from 1 species
GACGAACGCUGGCGGCAUGCCUAACACAUGCAAGCCGAGCGAGCUGAUCUCUUCGGAAUGAAGCUAGCGGCGGACGGGUGAGUAACACGUGGGCAACCUGCCUCAUAGAGGGGAAUAGACUUCCGAAAGGAAGAUUAAUACCGCAUAAGAUUGUAGUACCGCAUGGUAUCGCAAUUAAAGGAGUGAUCCGCUAUGAGAUGGGCCCGCGGCGCAUUAGCUAGUUGGUGAGGUAAAGGCUCACCAAGGCGACGAUGCGUAGCCGACCUGAGAGGGUGAUCGGCCACAUUGGGACUGAGACACGGCCCAGACUCCUACGGGAGGCAGCAGUGGGGAAUAUUGCACAAUGGGGGAAACCCUGAUGCAGCAAUGCCGCGUGAGUGAUGACGGCCUUCGGGUUGUAAAGCUCUGUCUUCGGGGACGAUAAUGACGGUACCCGAGGAGGAAGCCACGGCUAACUACGUGCCAGCAGCCGCAGUAA